UUAGAGAUAGUAGCAACAUGUUUUCCUCUUGUACAUACGACACGAAUAAUUCUAGAAAAUUGAUAUAAUUUCGUCUAGGGACACUAAAGAUCGACUACGAAUCACCAAGUUCGAACGAUUUGUCAACAAAACUUCUUUCUUCGCGUACAACGCGAAUAAUCCUGGGAAAAUUGAUCCAGUCUUUGAAAAUAACAAGGUUUAUCCCUGUGAUUUCGAUUGGUUUGGAUCGACACGAUGGGUAGCGGUCCGCGGAGAGGUCAGAGAUGGUAAACGGUGUCGAUUAUAGACGAGCCUGUUGUGGUGGUGGCAGCGUAGCAUGACUGGUAGCCGAUAUAUCUGUAUACGUGUCCGUCCCAGCCGCCCGUGACCACGUGGCCUUGUCCUUGUACGACGUCGACGUCGAGCGUUCCGUGCCACCGACACCCGUCGUCGGUCGCCGUGGAACCUUCCUACGAAGAGCCGCGGCGGAGAGAAGAGAGAUGUCCCAGCUCAGCUCGCGUGUGCGCCCGAGCUUUUCGCUCUCCACAUAUAAAUGCACACGGCCAAUACAUGUAGAGGUAGGAAUGUGUGCUCGUGAACGCGUUUACGUGGAGCAAAGGCGCCGUUUAACGCGGAAUUACGAGGUAAUUCGUCUCUUGCCAACCGGCAACUGCGUCACCCGUAACUGUAAAUCUUCUACCUAUCGAUUCGAUGCAACCUUGGACAGCGGCUAAUUGAGAGGUUUAGAGGAAACGCGGUGCGAGUGAUCGAAUCUUUAACUCGAGAAUGACGCGAGCAAAGUUUCUGUUGGCACUCCGGUAUCAAGGACAGCCUUCAUUCUUGACUCGAGGCGGAAACGCGCGAUCUUUCGCCGUUUCGAUCGUUCCAACGUCCUAACCAAACAAUAUUGGAAGAAGACGGAGAAGAGAAGCGAAGUAGGAAGGGAGUUGUUUUGGUGAGUCAAACUUAAUUGUUUCUUCAUCUGCACGAUGAUUACGAAGGAUUGCAGUUGGAAAUGAAUCGCAAUUAUUGUCAUCGUUUGCUAAUUAUUGACGUAGAAUCGAUUCUAUUUGCAUUGAAAUACAUUGAUACAGCGUUAACCGGGCACGUGUAUAAAAUCGAUUGCAUAUGCAUUAAGUUAUGUAAUUAUUAAUAUAUGGAAUUGUUUAUGUCGUUGUCAGAGCAUCGUUUACUGUAUCGAGUGAUAACUGUUUCCUCUUGAUUUUUAAGAUUUUUCCGAUAAACGUUGAUAUCAUUAAGUUUUGUAAAACAACAGGUCGGAAAUUUUGUUAAUCGCCUGUAUAUCGACGUUACAUAAGGUGAUCACUUCAAAUAGUUUUAAGAAGAUUUCCUAUUAAUAUACUUAAAAAUAGUAUAUUUUAUAAAUAAAAGAUACGAAAA